rnacentral:snRNA from 1 species
GGAUGUGAGGGCGAUCUGGCUGCGACAUCUGUCACCCCAUUGAUGGCCAGGGUUGAUUCUGGCUGGCUAGGCGGGUGUCCCCUUCCUCCCUCACCACUCCAUGUGUGUCUGUCCUUCCUGCUCCAUGUGAGUCCUUCUCUCCCGAAGCUGCGCUCUGGGUCGAAGAGGACAACCUUCCCGGAAUACAGGAGGGCUGGUCUUCGGUCAAGGGUAUAUGAGUAGCUGCGCUCCGCUGCUAGAACCUCCAAACAAGCUCUCAAGGUUCAAUAUUUUGAAAUUGAGCUGAAAUACAAGUGACAUUUGUCCUCCAAAUGGAGAUGGCUCUCU